GAAGGAUGAGAAGCUUCGACUAAGGUUCGACUUGAGCGCCAGCGAGAGAGCGUUGCCGCAGGCAACGACCCGAAGGGCGAAGCGCGCAGCGCUGAGUAAUCCUUCCCCCACCACCA
rnacentral:sRNA from 1 species